UGAGGAGUGGCUUCCGGAGCUAACGCGUUAAAUCGACCGCUGGGGAGUACGGCCGCAAGGUUAAAACUCAAAUGAAUUGACGGGGGCCCGCACAGCGGUGGAGCAUGUGGUUUAAUUCGAUGCAACGCGAAGAACCUUACCUACUCUUGACAUCCAGAGAAUUUAGCAGAGAUGCUUUAGUGCCUUCGGGAACUCUGAGACAGGUGCUGCAUGGCUGUCGUCAGCUCGUGUUGUGAAAUGUUGGGUUAAGUCCCGCAACGAGCGCAACCCUUAUCCUUUGUUGCCAGCACAUUAUGGUGGGAACUCAAAGGAGACUGCCGGUGAUAAACCGGAGGAAGGUGGGGAUGACGUCAAGUCAUCAUGGCCCUUACGAGUAGGGCUACACACGUGCUACAAUGGCGUAUACAAAGAGAAGCGACCUCGCGAGAGCAAGCGGAACUCAUAAAGUACGUCGUAGUCCGGAUUGGAGUCUGCAACUCGACUCCAUGAAGUCGGAAUCGCUAGUAAUCGUAGAUCAGAAUGCUACGGUGAAUACGUUCCCGGGCCUUGUACACACCGCCCGUCACACCAUGGGAGUGGGUUGCAAAAGAAGUAGGUAGCUUAACCUUCGGGAGGGCGCUUACCACUUUGUGAUUCAUGACUGGGGUGAAGUCGUAACAAGGUAACCA
rnacentral:rRNA from 1 species